UACAGAGGGGGCAAGCGUUGUUCGGAAUUACUGGGCGUAAAGGGCGCGUAGGCGGCCUGUUAAGUCGAACGUGAAAUCCCCGGGCUUAACCUGGGAACUGCACUUGUGACUGCACGGCUGGAGUACGGCAGAGGGGGAUGGAAUUCCGCGUGUAGCAGUGGAAUGCGUAGAUAUGCGGAGGAACACCGAUGGCGAAGGCAGUCCCCUGGGCCUGUACUGACGCUCAUGCACGAAAGCGUGGGGAGCAAACAGG
rnacentral:rRNA from 1 species